GGGGGUUUAGCUCAGUUGGUAGAGCGCCUGCUUUGCAAGCAGGRUGUCAACGGUUCGAGUCCGUUAACCUCCA
rnacentral:tRNA from 1 species